AGCAGCCGCGGUAAUUCCAGCUCCAAUAGCGUAUAUUAAGGUUGCUGCGGUUAAAAAGCUCGUAGUUGAAUUUCGGGAUUGAUGCAUCGGUCGUGCCUUAAUGGGUAUGAGCUGGUGUGGUCAAUUUCUUACCUUCUGGUGAAUUGUGAUGUCCUCCUUAAUUGGGUGUUUCAAUGAACUAGGACUUUUUACUUUGAAAAAAUUAGAGUGUUUAAAGCAGGCAUUAUUUGCUUGAAUACAUUAGCAUGGAAUAAUAAAAUAGGACAAUGAUUCUAUUUUGUUGGUUUCUAGGAUCACUGUAAUGAUUAAUAGGGAUAGUUGGGGGCAUUAGUAUUCAAUUGUCAGAGGUGAAAUUCUUGGAUUAAUUGAAGACUAACUACUGCGAAAGCAUUUGCCAAGGAUAUUUUCAUUAAUCAAGAACGAAAGUUAGGGGAUCGAAGACGAUUAGGUACGUCGUAGUCUUAACCAUAAACUAUGCCGACUAGGAAUCAGACAACGUUAAAUUUUUAAUGACUUGUUUGGCACCUUACG
rnacentral:rRNA from 1 species